rnacentral:rRNA from 1 species
UACGUAGGGUGCAGGCGUUAAUCGGAAUUACUGGGCGUAAAGCGUGCGCAGGCGGUUUGCUAAGACAGGUGUGAAAUCCCCGGGCUUAACCUGGGAACUGCGCUUGUAACUGGCAGCUAGAGUGCGGCAGAGGGGGGUGGAAGUUCCACGUGUGAGCAGUGAAAUGACGUAGAGAUGUGGAGGAACACCGAUGGCGCAAGGCAGCCCC